rnacentral:rRNA from 1 species
UACGGAGGGUGCAAACGUUAUUCGGAAUUACUGGGCUUAAAGAGUUCGUAGGCGGCAUGAAAAGUAGGGAGUGAAAGCCCUCGGCUCAACCGAGGAAUUGCGCUCUAAACUGUCGUGCUCGAGGAACCUAGAGGUGAGCAGAACAGAUGGUGGAGCGGUGAAAUGCGUUGAUAUCAUCUGGAAUACCGGAGGCGAAGGCGGCUCACUGGGGGUUUUCUGACGCUGAGGAACGAAAGCCAGGGUAGCGAACGGG